GCAGUGAGGAAUAUUGGUCAAUGGGCGCAAGCCUGAACCAGCCAUGCCGCGUGAAGGAUGAAGGCCUUAUGGGUUGUAAACUUCUUUUAUACGGGAAUAAACUUAGCUAUGUAUAGCUAACUGCAGGUACCGUACGAAUAAGCACCGGCUAACUCCGUGCCAGCAGCCGCGGUAAUACGGAGGGUGCAAGCGUUAUCCGGAUUUAUUGGGUUUAAAGGGUCCGCAGGCGGACUAAUAAGUCAGUGGUGAAAUCUCUCGGCUCAACCGAGAAACUGCCAUUGAUACUGUUAGUCUAGAGUGUAGUUGGCGUAGGCGGAAUGUAUCAUGUAGCGGUGAAAUGCUUAGAUAUGAUACAGAACACCGAUCGCGAAGGCAGCUUACGAAACUACAACUGACGCUCAGGGACGAAAGCGUGGGGAGCGAACAGG
rnacentral:rRNA from 1 species